UAAAGUCUGCACUUGAAUAUUUGUCCAGAAAUGAAAAUUCAACAACAGUUUACUGUUAAUUGUUAAAUGCAGCUAAAGAUUUCGGCGGAACAGAUAUCAUUACUGGAAGUUUAGAACUCGACAGUUGCAGUCAUUCGAUCAUGCACAUUUACAACGCAACAGCUAAAGGUCUUGGCGGAACCAUGAAUGCCAGGAAAGAUACGACGGAUAGAACUGUUUGCCAUAUUCGAAUACACCCCCUGGCUGUCGAUCCAAUCGCUUACUCGAGCAGUCGCUGAUGAUGACAAUGAUAAGUAUCUGCAAUACAUAUAAAAUAAAUAAUUAAGCACUCGCCUCUCCUUGCAGAGACUGAAGAACCAACGAAUUGUAUAUUUCAGGGAAAGCAAGUUUGUUUGGUACAAAUAGAAAAGAAUGAAUGAAAAUAACAAAUAUUUAAGCGUACAACAUGUACAAAACAAGCACACAUAACUGAAGGGCCGUUUAAGGCCCUAGAAAGCUGCUAUAUGGAACAUGAAACAAAAUCGGUGCCGAGAAAAUGGUUUAGCUGUGACAUAUUGGGUGCACUAGACAACUUAGUUCAAUAUUUAAGAAGUCUUGAAAACAAUUAACAGCAUUUAUACAUGUAUAUACCAUGUCAUAAAUUUUUAGAUCCAAAUUCUGACAUACUCCCUCUGUAAAUUAAUAUAAGAUCGUUUAGAUCACUAAGUACAACUCAAGAAAUGAAAAGGACAAACCAGUUUGAAUAGUACCACCAGGAUUACAAUUUGGUACUAUUCAUAUCUUGAUUUGUCUUUUUUGUUUAUGAAGUUGUGAAUCGCAUUUGGAUACUUAAUUUUGUACAUUCUGAAUUAAACUACCACACAUGAAAGCUCUGAAAACCUAUUUAAGCAUAUAGAUGGCAAAAGGAAGAGAUAUAGAAAUUAAAAAAAAACUCUAGGAUAAAAUGGCAUAUCCCUUCUACUUUUUGUCCUCUUCUUUGCUUUGUUGCUACAAGUACCCAUCUAAACUACUCCCUCCGUCCGUAAAUACUUGUCGGAGAAAUGGAUAAGGAGUAUUUGACUGAUUAUUGGCACAUGCACUAUUCAAGCUGUCCCAGUGCUCACACCCCGGGUCUGGUUUUGAACAGCGAGUGUUACACACAUGAGGGAAGUAUGCCAAACGUAAACUGAAAUGAUACAUACAGGCAUAAGCAUAAUGGCUAAUGUAGUAUCACCAUCACAGCAAGGUGCUGCCAGAGGAAGCAAUCAGCUAAAUAAUAUCUUCAUAGUAACCAUUUGGCGCAAUACUAAAGCUUCAUAAUCAGUGGCCAAUUGUAGUGUUUGGACUACAGAAAUCACUUAUGGCAGAAGAGUGAACUUGUUCUGUUCUCUUUCUCCUCGAAAGACUGCAAUAUGAAUGACCGUUGUACUGAAAAAAUCCCCUGAAAAAUGCAGGUCGGCACUGACUCAUUGUACCUAAAUGCAUGACCAGUACCUAACUGCACCCACACCGUUCACCUCGCCCGUGCAGCCUGGUUCACCAUGACUUCCGGCAAAACAGCCAGCAAGCCGUUAGUUUCAAUGAGCAUCAGCAUUGAGGUGUCCUAGUCCCUUUAGACAAGCAAGGAUCCCCGCUUCCUCCACGCUAGCACACACAGGAACACCAGCCAUGCAUGAUCUCGGACAACGAUGCCCACUCCUGCAGGCUUAGAGAUUGCAUCCUAGCCUGCAUCACUAUGCACGAUAUUAUUCCAAUGAUGCUAUCCACUUGCCGAACCGAUCUGGCUCUUGAGGUGGAGCAGCUAGUCAGGCCCUGGUGCCGGAAAAGCUUCUCCUCCGGUAGCUUUACAAGGAACUGCCCUCUGGAAGCCGUCACUACAGGUUUGACUGCAUUUCUUAUAAAAAAAUAAAAAAAAUUAUUACUUUUGUUCCAUACAACAUAUUAUCUUCAAAUAUUAUUGUCAAAAGUAUUACUGUGAAGAAUGUGUCCAAGGUCCCAAGCGAAGGCCCGCAUCUGGCAGUAUACUCAUCCAGCCAAGCUCGAGUUGUGCUAGAGAUCCUUCAGAUAUAAUUAGGCUGAAGCAGCCUGUUGAAUCAGUGUACUUCUUUACUCACCAUCAGCUUCAGGUGUUGUAACUUAUAAGGUGUGUCUGGGAUCAUGUUCCGAUCCUUAUUGUAUAGUAUAAGGCCGCAGAUGAUUGUACACAUUGCUUUGAUUUUAAUGGCCAGACUUCCAUCAAGUUAGAUGCUAUCAGUAUAUAUUGUUCGAGCAUACAUUUUGUACGAAACAACUACACGCGAAAGCUCUGAAAAGCUAUUUAGACAACAUGAAAAGAAACAAGUGCUGACAAAAAUGGUUUGUCAGUCAGGUAAAAAAAAGGUUUCACGGUGACAAAGUAAUUUUGGUUUUCGGGAACAUAUUCAUGCAGAUAUAUAUUCAUAUAGCUGGCAGAAGGAAGAAAUGAAAAAAGAAGAAAACGGAGCAAGUCCAUUGCAUUGGUUUGGUCCUCCUCUUUACUUUGUUGGUACAGGUUCCCAUCUAAACCAUUUGCCUGAUCAUUGAUAGAUAACGCUGGUCAUGAUGUCAUAAGUGCUCACAACCAGGUCAGGAUAUGUAGCAUCAAGUGUAAAAUACAGGAGGAAAGUACGCCUAACUUAAACAGAACAGGCAUACCAUUUGACCCAAUACAAGGGCUUUGCAGUGUUUGAACUACAGAACAUGAAAGAAAAGUGAAAUUGUUCCCUUUUUCCUUGAAUGGCAGCAAUAGUUCACUGGUCUUUUAUCAGUAGUUCACUAUUUUGGAAUGGGGCAAACAUAGCAAGGCCAAAGCCAAGCCCUUGUAGUCCAUGAUAUAUCAAGUACGAAGAGCACACUUGGACACUAAAGGAAUUAUGCAUGCAACACCUAAUCAGCCAGCUCACAAUCCAUCCUAAAUAUUUCAGUGCCUCGACAAAAUCCAAACUAGACAACUAUCCCACUGCCAAUAAACAACAACUAAUAACCAUAAGGCUUAAUUCACACCUCAAAUUUUGGUCCAAGUAAGGACAAUCAAAAUAGAACGCAUUUGGAGCAUAUCAAGAUGAUGAGAGCAUAACCAUGCAAGUAAAAAGUGCUGUGUAAUAACAUAGCAUCCAGUACUCCAAAUGCGUCUUUUGUCUUGAUGACUAGGCAAUAUCCGUCGAUCAUUUAAGUAAAUGUAACAAGAUCAGGCCUCUCACCAGUACUUAUGACCAUGUCAAAGAUAUUGUGUUCUUCAGUUACCCUUCUGCGGCCUAUGACGAAUAUCCUUGUUCUUCAUUUCAGUAAUCAACUAGAAAAUUGCCCGUGCGUUGCAACGGGAGUAUAAACAUUCUAGUAGAUUAGCCCCUGACUGCACGUCUAUUAUUGUAUUAAUGUUUUUGAGAAGCCAUGUAUAUUAUUAUAUUGAUACGCUAAAAUCUUACCAAAUCUUUGUAUGCAAUCGCCAUGAUUUAUCUGCGAUUUUAUUGUUAAGCACUUAUUUGGUAAGAAUUUAAUGAGUUGCUAACAAAAUAUGUGUUUAUUUUGGUAAGAUAAUAAAUAUGAGACAAUUGAAUGGAUGGGAGAAAAAUCAAAUAUGGGAGGAAAAAAUCAAAGAGGAUAAGGAAAAAGUGGGACGUAUAUAUGGAAGGUUAGACGAAAGAGAUGUGAAAUGGGAACCUUACGUUCUUUUUAGUAGUAGAGAUUCCUUGCCUUUCUCCAUCUUGGCUAGUACUCUGAAUGCUUUUUCCAUCUUGGCGAUAAGCAAUAUCCAUUGAUAAUUUUAGUGAAUGCAGUAGGAUGAGGCCUCUCACCAGUAUGGGUAACCAAGUCAAAGAUGCCGUGUUCAUCGAUUACCUUUCCAUGGCUUAUGAUGAAUAUCCCUGUUCUUCAUCUUGGUAAUAAAUUCCUCGGCUUUCAUGGAAUCACCAUGAUUAAAAUAACCCUCAACCAUGCACAUGUAAACUUCUGUCUCAAGUGGUACUCCCAUAUCAAUCAUCUCACUGAACUUUUCCAUCGCAUCAUCCAUCCUGCCCAUCUUGCAAAAUGCAGAUAUCACAGUUAAAUAAGUGAAUUCAUUAGGCUUCACACCCUGCUUCAACAUGUCUUCAAAGAAAAGCAUGGCCACAUCCAUCCUGCCAUACUUAGCAUAUGCAUUAAUCAGUAUGUUGAAACAACGGAGGUCGGGUACAACUCCAUCUCUUGCCAUCAGCUCACAGAGAUCAAUCAUUUGAACAAGGGAUCCUUCUAUAGCGUACCCAUGGAGCAUAAUAGAGUAUGAGACUAUAUUUGGUUUCGGCCAUUCACGGCCAUGGAAUAAAAUAUUUCCUCAGCUUCUUUGAUUCUUCCAUGCUUGCAAAGGUAGUCCAUGACUGAGGUGCAAGUAACAACGUUUGGCAUACUACCUUGGCUUCUCAUUACUUUCAACAACCUAAAGGCUUCUUUCAGCUGAUCCGAAGUUAAAAAUCCAUGGAUCAGGGUAUUAUAUAUCCUAUCAUGUGGUUGGACACCAUUACGAACCAUGUGUCGAAGGAUCACCUCUGCCUUAUCCAUUGCUCUUGCUUUGCAUAGCGCAUUGAUUAUGGAGCUAUAUGUCACCUCAUUAGGCACAACCCCCUGUUGUAUCAUUUCGUGGAAUAGAUCACAUGCUUUGCUUACUUCACCCUCCUUAAACAAGCCAUCCAUUACCAUGUUGUAUGCCAUCACGUCGGGAGAGUGGUCACCACCUUUUUUGGCCAUCACCCGGAGCAGGUCAAGCGCAAGCUGGCUCCUCCCACUGUCGCAGAAACUCUUGAGAAUCACUGAGUAGGAGAUGACAUUAGGCAGGUCAUCGGGCAUCCUAUGGAGCAGCACGUUCAGAGCCUCCUUUGUGCGCCUCAUGUCACAGAGGAACUUGAAUAGGCUGCUGUAGGUAAUGGCGCUCAUUGUGAUGCCUGUCUUGAGGAGGCAGCCAAAGAAGGCAGGCCCUAGGUCUGGGCGGCAUGCUCGGUGGCAGCAGUCAAUUAGUAUGUUGUAAGUGUGAACGGUGGGUCCUGUCAUCCGGCGGCGGCCUGCUCGGGCCAUAUGGUUGAAGAGAUCGACCGCGAGCGCAGGGCCAUCAGUGCAGGCGGUUGAAGGCGGCGCACGCGCGAGUGCAGCAAAUAAGCCGUUGAGUGCACGCGCCGAUACUGGGACUGGUUGGCGCAGCAUUUCGUCGAACAGUUGGCGCGCGAGCUCUGGUCUGAGCGUCCUGGAGUCCAGAUGGCCUUGGAGUUCGUUCAGCAGGUCGUAGGCGCGUGAGGAGAAGGAGCUGCAGAAAGAGCGGACCUGAAGGCGCGGCAUCGUCGCCGUCUAGUUUCUACAGCGGCGGCGAAUGCGAGCUCCAAGGACCAAAUCCUUACUCUGGUGGGAGGAGGACGG
rnacentral:lncRNA from 1 species